rnacentral:rRNA from 1 species
UGGGGAAUAUUGGACAAUGGGCGAAAGCCUGAUCCAGCCAUGCCGCGUGAGUGACGAAGGCCUUAGGGUUGUAAAACUCUUUCGUCGGGGACGAUAAUGACGGUACCCGAAGAAGAAGCUCCGGCUAACUUCGUGCCAGCAGCCGCGGUAAUACGAAGGGAGCUAGCGUUGUUCGGAAUCACUGGGCGUAAAGCGCACGUAGGCGGAUAGUUUAGUCAGGGGUGAAAUCCCGGGGCUCAACCUCGGAACUGCCUUUGAUACUGGCAAUCUCGAGUCCGAUAGAGGUGGGUGGAAUUCCUAGUGUAGAGGUGAAAUUCGUAGAUAUUAGGAAGAACACCGGUGGCGAAGGCGGCCCACUGGAUCGGUACUGACGCUGAGGUGCGAAAGCGUGGGGAGCAAACAGGAUUAGAUACCCCCGUAGUCCCUGAGCGGGCUGGCAAGGCGCAU